GAUGAACGCUGGCGGCGUGCCUAAUACAUGCAAGUCGAGCGAACAGAUGAGGAGCUUGCUCCUCUGACGUUAGCGGCGGACGGGUGAGUAACACGUGGAUAACCUACCUAUAAGACUGGGAUAACUUCGGGAAACCGGAGCUAAUACCGGAUAAUAUAUUGAACCGCAUGGUUCAAUAGUGAAAGACGGUUUUGCUGUCACUUAUAGAUGGAUCCGCGCCGCAUUAGCUAGUUGGUAAGGUAACGGCUUACCAAGGCAACGAUGCGUAGCCGACCUGAGAGGGUGAUCGGCCACACUGGAACUGAGACACGGUACAGACUCCUACGGGAGGCAGCAGUAGGGAAUCUUCCGCGAUGGGCGAAAGCCUGACGGAGCAACGCCGCGUGAGUGAUGAAGGUCUUCGGAUCGUAAAACUCUGUUAUUAGGGAAGAACAAAUGUGUAAGUAACUAUGCACGUCUUGACGGUACCUAAUCAGAAAGCCACGGCUAACUACGUG
rnacentral:rRNA from 1 species